AUAUUAAAAUGAAUAUUUACUGUUUGCAUGGCAGCAGAUGCUCUGAUGCAGAGGCCGGAGGAUCCUCUGCAGGGUGCUGCACAAGGAGCCUGCAGAACAGAGAGUGCAGCUCUGCAGCGCACAGCCGGCUGCCGGCCUCACUAACAGAGCCCCAGGGGGUCACUCGAUGCGCCUGGAGUGCUGGUCCUGCAGCCCGGUGAGGAGGACGGGCGGGGGGAGAGACUGGACCCUCCUCACUCAGCCGGCCCGGGACUGUGGACACGCCUGCUGUUCCCUCCUCACCCCCGACGCCGCAGCCUGGGGGGAGAACAGCGACUCGGGUCAGGGCACCUACAGCCAGCUCACCGGGAAGGGCACCAACGGGCUGGAGGCCGCACACACCCACCCCAGCUUGGAGGACGGAGAGACGGACCCGGACGACACCUCGGCCUUCGACUACUCCUCCGUAACCUCCGGCAGCCCUGACGGCACCCUGCGGGGGGAGCAGCUGGACAGCGGGGAGGAGGAGGACAGCCAAGAGCCGGUGCUGCUGAAGCCGUCGUACAGCCAGCAGAGGGAGGCCCCCAGAGAGAGGACUGUGUGUCUGAGGUGGCAGAUCCCCAGACUAACCCCUCACCCCCCGCUGAGGAGCCCCGCGGGCCCGACGCCCUGCCUCGUCCGCUCCUACGGGAAGAAGCUGGUCAGUGUCCGGAAGGGCUCGCCCCCCCUGCACCCGAAGAGUGCCUUCAGGCCCAUCUGGGACGACCCAUCCAAACAGCAGGCGGAUGCCGCUCCGGAGAAAGACAACAGAGGCUUCAUCCCGAUUCAAACUCCAGCGAGGAAAAACUUUCACAACUUCAACCCGAGCAGACAAAACCUGAGACUGGGCCCGGCGCCGCAGAGAGGAAACCCUGCAGCGGCCCACAGCGGGGGGGAACUGUGGGAGGACAGCGAGGACAGC
rnacentral:lncRNA from 1 species